rnacentral:lncRNA from 10 species
UUGGGAUUCAUUGACAUAAUAAUCCUGAAUGGAUGAGAGCUGAAAUGUAACCAAAUAUGCAUGAAGACCCCAUCAUCUUGUUUGUACACUCCUAGGGCCCUUCAAACUUUUGGCUCUUCCCUCUUGAAAGCCAAGAAUGGCACGUUGAGUCUUCACAUCACCGCUGUCUUGCUCUGUCAUCACAACCUCUCUGAUGUUGACUCACCUGCCUUCUUCCUAUAAGGACUAUUGUGAUUAGAUUGGACCCAUCUGGAUAUUACAGAAUACUAUCUUGUACCAAGUUCAGCUAAUUCCUUUAAGUAUUAGGCAACAGUACCAAUUCAUC